CCUACGGGGGGCACCAGUGGGGAAUAUUGCACAAUGGGCGCAAGCCUGAUGCAGCCAUGCCGCGUGUGUGAAGAAGGCCUUCGGGUUGUAAAGCACUUUCAGCGAGGAGGAAGGUGGUGAACUUAAUACGUUCAUCAAUUGACGUUACUCGCAGAAGAAGCACCGGCUAACUCCGUGCCAGCAGCCGCGGUAAUACGGAGGGUGCAAGCGUUAAGCGGAAUUACUGGGCGUAAAGCGCACGCAGGCGGUUUGUUAAGUCAGAUGUGAAAUCCCCGGGCUCAACCUGGGAACUGCAUUUGAAACUGACAAGCUAGAGUCUCGUAGAGGGGGGUAGAAUUCCAGGCGUAGCGGUGAAAUGCGUAGAGAUCUGGAGGAAUACCGGUUGCGAAGGCGGCCCCCUGGACGAAGACUGACGCUCAGGUGCGAAAGCGUGGGGAGCAAACAGGAUUAGAUACCCUCGUAGUC
rnacentral:rRNA from 1 species